AUGAAAUGGUGCACAAAUCCCAGUGUCACUCUGCUAUUAGCAGGAUGCUAACUACUUACUUUUUCCAUUUAUUAGCCAUUUUGAAUAACUCAGCCCUGUUCUCCUUCUUUCAGCGAUGAGAGCUCAGAGACAUGCCACGGAGCAGCUGAAAAAAGAAGCAAGACAAAGUGUGGACAAGAGAAUGAUGUGAACAAGUGCCAAGUGAUCUACAUUCACAACCUUCCGAGCAGCGUCACUCAGUCCAUACUGCGUAAGCGCUUCGAGGCCUUCGGCCAUCCGGAGGACUGUAAAGUGGUCAUCAAAAACGAGGAGCGUUGUGGGGUGAUCACGCUGAGACCGGCUCAGAACGGCCAGACCUCACGGCACAGGUGGGACUCGCUCGGU